UUCUUAUUAAGAGGAGCAGAGGGACUGGCCCAAUGAUGCUUCAGCAACCCCGCCAUGAGCGGAAGGUGCUAAUUCCAGCAGGACUACGUCCUGGGAGAUAAGAG
rnacentral:ncRNA from 14 species